AAAGACUCCACUUUUCAGUUUUUGGAUACAACAUUUGACUCUUCAUCUUAUUUAAAAAGUUUCUAUGAUUAGUAUUUUUAUUGUUAUUAGAUGAUAAAACAUGAAUAGUACAUUUUGCGUGACUAUUUUAAAAAAAAUCAUAUUUUUUUUAAAUAAGAUAGAAGGUCAAACGUUGGACAUAGUAUC
rnacentral:pre_miRNA from 1 species